UGGAUAUGUUCCCAUUCCUGUGGAAAAUUUUGGAGGUACCUCACAUAAUUUAUAAUUGAUUUUCCACUAAACUGUUGAAGAAUCUUUUUUGCUUCUGUUGCUAAAGUGCAGAACCAGCAAAAAAACCUGCAGAACAUCUUGGCAAAUUCUUCAGAAAUUACCUCUACCUCAGAAACCUGAAAGACACAGCAUGAAGAACAUCCACACCAUGCAAAAUUUUACUGUUUUCCAUGCUGGCUUGCAAUGACUGGCUGUGUCUGCAUUGCACAAUAAGUACAGUUGUUCUCGCCUUUACAUAGUGCUGACCUGCACUGCUUCUGAUCCUGGCUCAGCCAGCUAGUUUAGGUGCAUGUUGCCUAGAUUAUUGAAACUUACCCUUACAUUUUGUAAGAGGCAAGGGUGGAAAGAAGCAGAAGAUCUUAUUGGAUUGGCUAAUGAAAAAUAUCUAUGCUUUUAUUAUCUAGCUUUUAUUCAUUGGUCAAGUCAAUCCCAUCAUGUGUCAAGAACUGUCAGCCAAGUUCAAGCACCAGAGGAAGAGCACACACCUCAGGCAGCGUGUGUGAAAAGCAGCAAUGCAUUCCUGUAAUUGUUCCUGAAACUUCCAAACAGGAGGGUUUUACUGGGCCAUAUAUCCAGCUCUUUCCUCCCACCAUGAGCUACUGCUUGAACUCUGCCUUUGGUCUCUGCCUGUUUGUCACCCUGGCUGCUCUUGGGCUUGGUUCUACUUCUUGUUGUGGGAGCAUUUUGAAAUCAUUACGCCUUUAUUUUCUGAGAAGCAAGAUUUAUGGGGAAGAUUUUCUUGAAGGUUAUGCUAAUCUUUGUUGGCAAGAGAAACGGUAGCUGGAGCGAAAAAAGUGAAAGAGAAUGCCACAUGAGAAUGAACAGCAUGCGGAGCGUGAGAAGUUUCUGCAAUAACUGGAACUGGAGCAGCCUUGUCAGCAUGCAGUCCCUGGAGCAGUAAGCGGGGAUGUACGCACUGGAAUGUUCAAGAAUGAAAUGUUAAUUAACAUUCAGGUACUCAGAAAGGCAUUUGGGAUAAAUCCUUUGCUAAGGCAGGUGGGUGCCCCUCAGGUACUUUCUGUGAAAUUUUGAGUAUGUCACACAGCCAUUCAUUCAGCCUCAAAAUAAAU